rnacentral:rRNA from 1 species
UGGAUCCAGACUUUGAUUCUGGCUCAGGAUAAACGCUGGCGGCGCACGUAAGACAUUGCAAGUCGAACGGACUUAACUCAUUCUUUUAGUUUGAGAGCGGUUAGUGGCGGACUGGUGAGUAACACGUAAGCAACCUGCCUAUCAGAGGGGAAUAACAGUGAGAAAUCAUUGCUAAUACCGCAUAUGCUAACAGUAUCGCAUGAUACAGUUAGGAAAGGAGCAAUCCGCUGAUAGAUGGGCUUGCGUCUGAUUAGUUAGUUGGUGGGGUAACGGCCUACCAAGACUACGAUCAGUAGCCGGACUGAGAGGUUGAACGGCCACAUUGGGACUGAGAUACGGCCCAGACUCCUACGGGAGGCAGCAGUCGGGAAUAUUGCGCAAUGGAGGAAACUCUGACGCAGUGACGCCGCGUAUAGGAAGAAGGUUUUCGGAUUGUAAACUAUUGUCGUUAGGGAAGAUAAAAGACUGUACCUAAGGAGGAAGCCCCGGCUAACUAUGUGCCAGCAGCCGCGGUAAUACAUAGGGGGCAAGCGUUAUCCGGAAUUAUUGGGUGUAAAGGGUGCGUAGGCGGAGAAACAAGUUGGUUGUGAAAUCCCUCGGCUCAACUGAGGAACUGCAACCAAAACUAUUUCCCUUGAGUGUCGGAGAGGAAAGUGGAAUUCCUAGUGUAGCGGUGAAAUGCGUAGAUAUUAGGAGGAACACCAGUGGCGAAGGCGACUUUCUGGACGAUAACUGACGUUGAGGCACGAAAGUGUGGGGAGCAAACAGGAUUAGAUACCCUGGUAGUCCACACCGUAAACGAUGGAUACUAGGUGUAGGGUGUAUUAAGCACUCUGUGCCGCCGCUAACGCAUUAAGUAUCCCACCUGGGGAGUACGACCGCAAGGUUGCAACUCAAAGGAAUUGACGA